CCUACGGGUCGCAGCAGUGGGGAGUAUUGCACAAUGGGCGCAAGCCUGAUGCAGCCAUGCCGCGUGUAUGAAGAAGGCCUUCGGGUUGUAAAGUACUUUCAGCGAGGAGGAAGGCAUUAAGGUUAAUAACCUUAGUGAUUGACGUUACUCGCAGAAGAAGCACCGGCUAACUUCAUGCCAGCAGCCGCGGUAAUACGGAGGGUGCAAGCGUUAAUCGGAAUUACUGGGCGUAAAGCGCACGCAGGCGGUCUGUCAAGUCGGAUGUGAAAUCCCCGGGCUCAACCUGGGAACUGCAUUCGAAACUGGCAGGCUAGAGUCUUGUGGAGGGGGGUAGAAUUCCAGGUGUAGCGGUGAAAUGCGUAGAGAUCUGGAGGAAUACCGGUGGCGAAGGCGGCCUCCUGGACAAAGACUGACGCUCAGGUGCGAAAGCGUGGGGAGCAAACAGGAUUAGAUACCCCAGUAGUC
rnacentral:rRNA from 1 species